rnacentral:rRNA from 1 species
UAAGCGGGAAGCCUGUUCCGAGAUGAGGUUUCUUUUGAGGUGUCCUAGAGAUGAUGGGGUUGAUAGGCCGGGGCUGGAAGCUCUGUGAAGGGGUGUUGAGGUGACCGGUACUAAUUCACCGAC